GAUGAACGCUAGCUACAGGCUUAACACAUGCAAGUCGAGGGGCAGCGGGAUUGAAGCUUGCUUCAAUUGCCGGCGACCGGCGCACGGGUGAGUAACGCGUAUCCAACCUUCCGUACACUCAGGGAUAGCCUUUCGAAAGAAAGAUUAAUACCCGAUGGUAUGAUGAGAUUGCAUGAUAUCAUCAUUAAAGAUUUAUCGGUGUACGAUGGGGAUGCGUUCCAUUAGGUAGUAGGCGGGGUAACGGCCCACCUAGCCAACGAUGGAUAGGGGUUCUGAGAGGAAGGUCCCCCACAUUGGAACUGAGACACGGUCCAAACUCCUACGGGAGGCAGCAGUGAGGAAUAUUGGUCAAUGGACGAGAGUCUGAACCAGCCAAGUAGCGUGAAGGAUGAAGGUCCUACGGAUUGUAAACUUCUUUUAUAAGGGAAUAAACCCUCCCACGUGUGGGAGCUUGUAUGUACCUUAUGAAUAAGCAUCGGCUAACUCCGUG
rnacentral:rRNA from 1 species